rnacentral:rRNA from 1 species
UACAGAGGUCUCAAGCGUUGUUCGGAUUCAUUGGGCGUAAAGGGUGCGUAGGCGGCGCGGUAAGUCGGGUGUGAAAUCUCGGAGCUUAACUCCGAAACUGCAUUCGAUACUGCCGUGCUUGAGGACUGGAGAGGAGACUGGAAUUUACGGUGUAGCGGUGAAAUGCGCAGAUAUCAGGAGGAACACCAAUGGCGAAGGCAGCACUCUGGGACGUGACUGACGCUGAGACGCGAAAGCGUGGGGGAGCAAACAGG